rnacentral:Y_RNA from 1 species
GGCUGGGGUCCAAAGUAGUGAGUUAAGGCAAUUGAUUGUUCAUAGUCAGUUACAGAUUUAACUCCUUGUUCUAUUCUUUUCCUUCCUCUCACUACUACACUUGACUGGUCUUAA